rnacentral:rRNA from 1 species
UACGUAGGGUGCGGGCGUUAAUCGGAAUUACUGGGCGUAAAGCGUGCGCAGGCGGUGAUGUAAGACAGAUGUGAAAUCCCCGGGCUCAACCUGGGAACUGCAUUUGUGACUGCAUCGCUGGAGUGCGGCAGAGGGGGAUGGAAUUCCGCGUGUAGCAGUGAAAUGCGUAGAUAUGCGGAGGAACACCGAUGGCGAAGGCAAUCCCCUGGACCUGUACUGACGCUCAUGCACGAAAGCGUGGGGAGCAAACAGG